GGUCAAGCUUGGAGAGAAAUCAGCCUGCUCCAUCCUUGACCCAUCAUUCAUCACUGCAUUUGUCCACAGCCAAACAGCCCAGCUGGUUAACUGGCAAAAUACCUUAUCUGAGCUCUAAAAGGUUCCAUUUCUGCUACGGAGAAGUUUAUUAACAACACUCCCCAGAAAGCAGCAGGAAUUCUGGGGGACAGCUUUGCAGGGACAUUUUUCAACAGAGAAGCUUAAAAUCCUGCACCGUGCACCCAAUCCACAGGCUGGGGAGACAAGAGGUUAAUUUGGCAGACAGCAAACAGUGAGUGUUUAUGAAGGAAAAAAGCAGAAACUUUUCAGAAGAAUGUCUUAAGAGAUCUGGAAACCACCAUGACUUCAGCACAGCUACACAAUAAGACAAGAAAGCCCUCUCUGCAGUUGAUUUGAAGUAGAGGUCCAGAUCUCUGGCAUCGUAUCACUGGAAGCGCCUCUCCUCAGAUGCAUCAUCGUCCCAAAGGUCCCAGAGGUGGCUGGUACACAAUUAGUGGGAGUAUAUUCUCAUCCUGAUGUGAAGGGUUUAGCCCAUUAACACUAAUGGCAGCUGCUGACGCUCCCUGUAUCACCGGAGACAUGGAUGUGCUCAGCCCUGCACACACCUCAUCCCCCCAGGAGGAACCUGCAGAUUAUCGGGAAUAAAACCUUUGCAAUGCUCAGAAAGUC